CUGAUGAAUCAUAAUAACUGUUCGGACCGCGAGACUUCGGUCGGCGGCAGUUCAUUCAAAUUUCUGCCCUAUCAACUUUCGACGGUAGUGUAGUGGACUACCGUGGUGUUAACGGGUGACGGAGAAUUAGGGUUUGACUCCGGAGAGGGAGCCUGAGAAACGGCUACCACAUCCAAGGAAGGCAGCAGGGGCGCAAAUUGGCCAAUCCUGACACAGGGAGCCAGUGACAAUAAAUAACAAUACCGAUCCUUUUUAGGUUUGGUAAUUGGAAUGAGUACAAUUUAAAUACUUUAACGAUGAUCCACUGGAGGGAAAGUCUGGUGCCAGCAGCCGCGGUAAUUCCAGCUCCAGUAGCGUAUAUUAAAGUUGUUGCAGUUAAAAAGCUCGUAGUUGGAUUUCUGGCGGACGCGCCCGGCCCGCUGGGAUUUAUCCCAUGUUGAGUUGCUGGCGUGCGUCCGUCUUCCUUGUGGGGAAGCGUCGCUCCCGUUCUGCGGAGGGCGGCGCCGCUCUGCAUCUUUUACUUUGAAAAAAUUAGAGUGUUUAAAGCAGGCUUGCGCUUUUGAAUACAUUAGCAUGGAAUAAUAAUAUAGGACUUCGGCCUAUUUGUUGGUUCUGGGACGAAGUAAUGAUUGAUAGGGAUAGUUGGGGGUGCCUGUAUUAUGCGGUCAGAGGUGAAAUUCUUGGAUUCGCGUAAGACAAACUUAUGCGAAAGCAUUCGCCAAGGAUGUCUUCUUUAAUCAAGAACGAAAGUUGAGGGAUCGAAGACGAUCAGAUACCGUCGUAGUCUCAACCAUAAACUAUACCGACUAAGGAUGAGUGAACGUUGCAUUUUCGACUUCAUUCGCACCUUAUGAGAAAUCAAAGUCUUUGGGUUCCGGGGGGAGUAUGUCGCAAGGCUGAAACUUAAAGGAAUUGACGGAAGGGCACCACCAGGAAGUGGAGCCUGCGGCUUAAUUUGACCCAACACGGGAAAACUUACCAGGUCCAGACUCUGUAAGGAUUGACAGAUUGAAGAUCUUUCUUAAUUUGGAGGGUGGUGGUGCAUGGCCGUUCGCAGUUGGUGGAGUGAUUUGUCUGGUUAAUUCCGUUAACGAACGAGACCUCACCCUGCUAAUUAGUAGUGAGAACUUCUGGUUCUUCCGCUACUUCUUAGAGGGACUACUGGUAUUUAGCCAGUGGAAGUUUGAGGCAAUAACAGGUCUGUGAUGCCCUUAGAUGUUCUGGGCUGCACGUGCGUUACAAUGCUGGGUGCAUCGAGUAUACAACCUUGACUGAGAGGUCUGGGUAAUCUUUUCAACGCCCAGCGUGCUGGGGAUAGAUUAUUGUAAUUAUUAAUCUUCAACGAGGAAUUCCUAGUAAACGCCAGUCAUCAACUGGCAUUGAUUACGUCCCUGCCCUUUGUACACACCGCCCGUCGCUGCUACCGAUUGGAUGACUUAGUGAGCUUUAGGUAUUGCGCUCCGAGGUUGGCUCUGCCUUCUUUGGGGUGUGAGAACUAACGCAAACUUGAUCAUCUAGAGGAAGCAAAAGUCGUAACAAGGUU
rnacentral:rRNA from 1 species